GGCCUGGUGGUCUAGUAGUAUGAUUCUUUCUUAGGGCGUGUGCGUGGGAGAAAAUGCUUACGUAAUUGGAGGCGGCCCCAGGUUCAAUUCCCGGCCAGGCCC